rnacentral:rRNA from 1 species
UACAGAGGGUGCGAGCGUUGUCCGGAAUCACUGGGCGUAAAGGGCGCGCAGGCGGCUCUGAAAGUCAGAUGUGAAAGCCCCGGGCUUAACCUGGGAAUUGCAUUUGAUACUCUGGAGCUUGAGUACGGGAGAGGGGAGUGGAAUUCCCAGUGUAGAGGUGAAAUUCGUAGAUAUUGGGAAGAACACCGGUGGCGAAGGCGGCUCUCUGGACCGUAACUGACGCUGAGGCGCGAAAGCGUGGGGAGCAAACAGG